GCAACAUAUAUUUCUGCAAUUCAUACAUAAUUUAUUACACAAUGUAACUUUUUCACUGGCAUUUCAUAAGUGACAAAGAGUGCUCAGCUAGACAUUCUUACACAAACAAUAAAAACAAAUGUUUUUCUUCCUUUCUUUCAAGAAAAUAAUCCAUGAAUUUAACUAUCUUACAGAAAAUAAAUCUUAUUUACACAAAAAUUUAAUGUUAAAGAUAUACAAUAUGUAAAUUAUUUCUGGACGGAAUGUAUGUAAUAAAAAAGAUUAGGUACAAAAACUAAAAGUAAUAACAAGGCAGGUUAAGUACAAUGUUUGUACAAGAAAAAGUGAACUAUUAGGCUUUUUCUGCACUUGUAUUAAAAGUAAAUAUUAAUCCAGUAAAUAGAGGUAAACAGAUACUCCUGAACUUUUUUCUACAACACGUGUGUAAGUAACAGAUUCCUGAGAGUUGUUAAAGAUUGAGGGGAUGGGCUGCUUUUAUGAUUCUAAUGCUUUCAAAUGAGUUUUAGAGAUUUGCUAAUAGCAACGUGAAUGUCGUUGCACAGAAAGUGAAUAAAAUAUAAACUAAUAUUAUUUUCCAUGUUAUCAAACUUGAAUACUGCAGAAAUGUAGUCAUAAAAUUAUGUGAAUGAUACCACAUGGUACACCAUACAAAAAUAUGGGUAUUAGAUCAUUUUUCUUCUUUGAAUACAGCAAGGAAAAGUUUGGAAGAAAACCCAUUAUGUAAAUCAGCCUUUUGCUUUUUCUGCAAUGCCCAUAUACCAAAAAAGAUGCGGAGGAAAAGAAAAUAAUGUUGUGCAUUUGCAUUUCUGAAUUUGGUCUGGAAGUUUGCACUAGUUAAAAAUAUCAAAUUGUACAAUAAAUAUAUGAGUCUCAGAAAAAAUUAACAUGAAAUUAAACAGUAUACACAGUAACUAUAAAACAAGUGAUCUAUUUUAAAAUAUACAAUGGCGUAUGAGCUACCAAUUGUGGCACUGCAAUUUUCACAGGCAGCAUUAGUAAUACUGUGGAUGUGUCAAAGAUGAAGCAGAACUAAGUUACGCUUAGAGCAGCCUGCAAUGAAGCUGAUACUAUGCACCAAAGAUAAUAUGUUGAACUACCUCUUAGAAGUAAACAGCAAUUUAUGAGAAAUACAAACUGAACAAUAUCAUACUAAUGUCAGGUACUUGCUUGCUCACCCAUAUUUCUCUUGUUAUGACACACACAAAUUGAUGUUGGCACUUAUACUCUUAUUAGGUUCUUCAUCCGGUAAUCAGUUAUACGCACUCAAAAUAUUCUCGCAUAAGAAUGGCUGUCCUCCUCAAAUUCCAGUCUUUUAUUGCUCUACUCCAUGUUUUACUCUUAUAUUGUUGUACAUACACACUGUAGAACCUCCACAUGCGAAUGAAGUCUUUUCCAUUACAAACUAGAUCAAUUUAUCCAUAAUAAUUCAGACUGCAAUGUGUUUUGCAUUAUUGUAUCUUUCUGCACCAUCGGUUAAAACAACUGUGCUUGGGAGUUGAGAAAAGCAAGCAAUGUUGUAUUAGUGAGGAAAGAUAAUAGUUAAGGAAUUAUAAUGCAGAAGGAUCCUUCUUAAUAUCUUAUCCUCUUUUCAAAUACACCCCCCCCCCUCCCCAAAACCUGAGAUAGUAAAUGAAGUGCAGAAAUCCAUGAACCACUCAAAGAAUUAAUCCAGAAAUCUUAUUCUGUAAAGUCGCUGGUUAACACAAUAAACCAACUUAC